GUAAGUGAUUUGUUUUGUAAACUAAAUGGAUUGAUACGACUAUUUCACGUGCUAAAAUUCUUCAUCUUUUUGUAUAUGUGUUGUUUUAUUUCCCCCCGUGUUCGUCAAAAGUUUAGCUACUCUUCUUGUCCUUAAUUCGCGAUUGUGUUUCCUUAUAACCGAGGAUUAAUGUUUCAAAACAUACGAAAAUGAUCUCGUAGUCCGGUACGGUCCUAUGGCUGUCUGCUCCCAUGAAAGGAAAAGAAAUUCUUGGAAGUGUGGAAACCCUUCAGCCAAAUGAAUCUUGAUACUUUUUUGUUGGCUGAAUGUACAUGAUAGUGUUAUCAUUAUCAUGCAAAGCCAGGAGGCUGCUUUUAAGGGGGCGGAGGAUCUACUCCGCGCUGCUGAAAAGAGGCUCCAAGUAUUGAGAGUUCCUGGCAGGCCAUCAACAGAAUGGGAAACCAGCUUUCUUUAA
rnacentral:lncRNA from 1 species